UGGUAGCCGGCGGCCGGGGCUCCGCCCCUCUUCGGCUGGCUGCGAGCCCUUCGGACUCUACCCGGAGCGGACCCCGGGCUGCUGGGCUCCCGCGUCUGUCGGAUGUCCCGGGUCAUGGCGGUCCGGAGGCCCGCUCCUGGGGCUGGCGCCAGGCCCAGGUUAGACCUGCAAUUUCUCCAGCGGUUCCUGCAGAUACAGAAAGUGUUGUUUCCCUCUUGGUCAUCACAGAAUUCCUUGAUAUUCCUGACCCUUUUGUGUGUGGCCCUACUGGAACAACUGGUGAUCUACCAGGUUGGCUUGAUUCCCAGUCAGUACUUUGGGGUCCUAGGAAACAAAGACUUGGAUGGGUUUAAGACCCUGACAUUCCUGGCUGUCAUGCUCAUCGUCCUCGAGUCCAUGCUGAAGAGUUUUGACCAGUUCACCUGCAACCUGCUGUAUGUGAGCUGGAGGAAGGGCCUCACGGAGCACCUCCACCGCCUCUACUUCCGGGGCCGCGUGUACUACACCCUCAACGUGCUGCAGGACAACAUCGAUAACCCGGACCAGCGCAUCAGCCAGGACGUGGAACGGUUCUGCCGGCAGCUCAGCAGCAUGGCCAGCAAGCUGAUCAUCUCCCCCUUCACCCUCAUCUACUACACCUAUCAGUGCUUCCAAAGCACAGGCUGGCUUGGUCCUGUGAGCAUCUUCGGGUAUUUCAUCCUGGGAACCAUGAUGAACAAAAUGUUGAUGGGUCCCAUUGUGGCGAAGCUGAUGCAGCAAGAGAAGCUGGAAGGGGAUUUCAGGUUCAAGCACAUGCAGAUCCGAGUGAAUGCUGAGCCUGCUGCCUUUUUCAGAGCUGGGCACGUGGAGCACAUGAGGACAGACCGCAGGCUGCAGAGACUCCUUCAGACCCAGAGGGAGCUGAUAUCCAAGGAGCUCUGGCUGUACAUCGGCAUCAACAUGUUUGACUAUCUGGGCGGCAUCCUGAGUUACGUCGUGAUCGCAAUCCCCAUUUUUAGUGGCGUCUAUGGAGACCUGAGCCCCACGGAGCUCAGCAGCCUGGUCAGCAAGAAUGCCUUUGUGUGCCUGUACCUCACCAACUGCUUCACCCGGCUCAUCGACCUCUCCACCACACUCUCCGACGUGGCUGGUUACACACACAGGAUCGGGGAGCUUCAGGAGACCCUGCUGGACAUGUCCCUGAAAUCGAAGGAUGAUGAUAUCCUGGACGAGAGUGAGUGGAACUUGGACAGGCUCUGUGAUGUUUCUGACCUUUCUGUGCAUCAAGGAAUUGUUUCCUGUCCUCCUUGUUUUGGAGGCCCAGGAUGGCCAGAAGCAGAGCCAACAGACACUGCUUUUCUCCUUGAGCGGGUCUGCAUCUCCGCCCCCUCGUCUAACAAACCCUUAAUCAAGGAUCUGAGCCUGAAAAUCUCCGAGGGGCAGAGCCUGCUUAUCACCGGCAACACAGGCACGGGCAAGACCUCUUUGCUCCGGGUUCUGGGCGGCCUCUGGGCAAGCACACGAGGCUCAGUGCAGAUACUGACAGACUUUGGACCACAUGGGGUGCUGUUCCUGCCACAAAAGCCCUUCUUCACUGACGGGACCCUUCGAGAACAGGUGAUAUAUCCCUUGAAGGAGAUCUACCCGGACUCAGGUUCUACAGAUGAUGAAAGGAUCAUGAGGUUCUUGGAGUUGGCAGGCCUGUGUAAUCAAUGGACUGCUCCUCUCUGCUUGGGGCAGAUUGCGCCCCCAGCCCCCACUGUGUACACCACCGGGGGUAGAUCUGUCUUGGGUGUGCGUGGUGGGACUGAGGAGGUGCCUCAGGAUGGCAGAAAACGGAUGGAGGAUGGACCCUUUCACGGACAUCGUUCCCUCUGGAUGUGUUACAGUCCAGCUUGGUGGCCAGGACAGAGGGUCUGGACCAGCAGGUUGAUUGGAACUGGUAUGAUGUUCUGUCCCCUGGAGAGAUGCAAAGGCUCUCCUUUGCCCGGCUCUUCUACCUGCAGCCAAAGUAUGCAGUGCUUGAUGAAGCCACCAGUGCCCUGACUGAGGAGGUGGAGAGCGAGCUCUACCGCGUCGGCCAGCAGCUGGGCAUGACAUUUGUCAGCGUGGGGCAUCGGCGCAGCCUUGAGAAGUUUCACUCCUUGGUUCUGAAACUCUGUGGAGAAGGAAGGUGGGAGCUGACCAGAAUCAAAAUGGAAUGAAGCCAAGGAUGUGGCUGGCCACCAGAAGGAGAGCCAAGCUCUUGGAGGUUGAGUCCCCAGGAGAGACCAGGAGGGCUGAUGGGGUGAGGAAUGAGGCCCAGGUUUGCAUCAUGGGUCCUGUGUGGGGAGCUCUGGCAGCAGUGGGCUCAGCCCACAUGCAACCUUCAUGGGACACAGUCCUGCCAAGGCUCCUCCUGCUGCUUCAGCCAGAGCUUUGCACACUUGAAAUGCUGAUUACACUAAAGAAAAACCUGAAAGUAUGGGAGCUACAAGAAAUGAAGGGUCAAAAUGGAGAGAGUAUUGGACUUGGAGUCAAGAGAUCCAGAAAUCUUUUAGAUCAGUUCAGUUUUGCAACCAUAGGUUUUUAACUUUAAUCGAUUGUUUAAAUUUUAUAACUUUUUGAAAAAGAAAAGAUAAACUUUUUUUAAAAAACUUGAAA